UAGCUCAGUGGCACAGCACAUGCCUGGCAAGCAUGAGGUCCUGAGUUCAAUCCCUAG
rnacentral:tRNA from 1 species